CGGCUCCUGCAGGCGCUCGGCCUCCGCUCAUUCCUGACCCCGCAGUGGGCGCGAUGGCGGAGGCUGUACUGAGGGUCGCCCGGCGGCAGCUGAGCCAGCGCGGCGGGUCUGGAGCCCCCAUCCUCCUGCGGCAGAUGUUCGAGCCCGUGAGCUGCACCUUCACGUACCUGCUGGGUGACAGAGAGUCCCGGGAGGCCGUUCUGAUCGACCCAGUCCUGGAAACAGCGCCUCGGGAUGCCCAGCUGAUCAAGGAGCUGGGGCUGCGGCUGCUGUAUGCUGGUCAGUCCGGGGACCAAACUCAUGGAUCCCAGCGUGGCUGGGCUGCAGCGUCAGUGGAAUGGGAAGCUGGGGCCCAGAACUCCUGAGUCUGAGGGAGAAGGAUCUGGGCUGGGACGCCCAGGUCCUUUCUGUACCCUCCGGACCUGUCCCUCCUCUCUCUCCCAGUGAAUACCCACUGCCACGCGGACCACAUUACAGGCUCGGGGCUGCUCCGUUCCCUCCUUCCUGGCUGCCAGUCUGUCAUCUCCCGCCUUAGUGGGGCCCAGGCUGACUUACACAUUGAGGAUGGAGACUCCAUCCGCUUCGGGCGCUUC
rnacentral:sRNA from 1 species